UAGCCUGCAUGUCUAAGUAUAAGUGUUAUACAGCGAAACUGCGAAUGGCUCAUUAAAACAGUUAUAGUUUAUUUGAUAAUCGAAUUUACAUGGAUAACCGUGGUAAUUCUAGAGCUAAUACAUGCUGGUAUGCCCGACUUUUGCGGAAGGGCGGUAUUUAUUAAAUAACAAGCCAAUAUUCCUCUGGUCUAUUGUGGUGACUCAUAAUAACUGAUCGAAUCGCAAGGCCUUUGGCCGCGAUAAAUCAUUCAAGUUUCUGCCCCAUCAGCUUUCGAUGGUAGUGUAUUGGACUACCAUGGCGUUUACGGGUAACGGAGGAUUAGGGUUCGAUUCCGGAGAGGGAGCCUGAGAAACGGCUACCACAUCUAAGGAAGGCAGCAGGCGCGUAAAUUACCCAAUCCUGACUCAGGGAGGUAGUGACAAGAAAUAACGGACCGGUUCCUUCGGAUUCGGGAUUGCAAUGAGCCGAAUUUACACCCCUUAUCAAGGAUCGAUUGGAGGGA
rnacentral:rRNA from 1 species